rnacentral:rRNA from 1 species
UGGGGAAUAUUGCACAAUGGGCGCAAGCCUGAUGCAGCCAUGCCGCGUGUAUGAAGAAGGCCUUCGGGUUGUAAAGUACUUUCAGCGGGGAGGAAGGGAGUAAAGUUAAUACCUUUGCUCAUUGACGUUACCCGCAGAAGAAGCACCGGCUAACUCCGUGCCAGCAGCCGCGGUAAUACGGAGGGUGCAAGCGUUAAUCGGAAUUACUGGGCGUAAAGCGCACGCAGGCGGUCUGUCAAGUCGGAUGUGAAAUCCCCGGGCUCAACCUGGGAACUGCAUUCGAAACUGGCAGGCUAGAGUCUUGUAGAGGGGGGUAGAAGUCCAGGUGUAGCGGUGAAAUGCGUAGAGAUCUGGAGGAAUACCGGUGGCGAAGGCGGCCCCCUGGACAAAGACUGACGCUCAGGUGCGAAAGCGUGGGGAGCAAACAGG